rnacentral:tRNA from 1 species
GGGUAUAUGGCUUAAUGGUAGAGUGCUUGCCUAGCAUGCAUGAAACCCUGGGUUCGAUUCCUCAGUACCA